rnacentral:misc_RNA from 1 species
GAGAGAGAGAGAGAGAGAUCACUUGGAGCCAGUAUUGCAAAGUCCAAGAGUAAUACUUCAUCUUCAUGCACCUUGUUUGCGGCAUAAAAACAUAAAAAUACUUGAAUACAUACUUAUCACUUUGAAAUUUCAUUUACAAAAAGUGAGUCUCUAAUCAAUUAGCUAAAAUUAGCAGCCACAAAAUUAUACGCAGAAGUAAGGCAAAAAUGACUUUCAAAAAGAGAAGCUUUCUCAAAUAAAGUUUGCAAAAGAAAUCUUGAUUUGAGAGGUAUAAAAUAGACUAAUGGCCCGUUUGGUAUUACUAUUGGAACUGCUGUUGAGAAAAUCAUUUU